GGUCCUCAGAGGGUGAUCAGACAGUGCUCCCAAGAAUGGGUGGAGGUUCUGAAGAUAGCAGCCCCAGCUCCAGGUGGAAACGACAGCUUACUUAUCAAGGGGGUUACAGUGUCUGCAGCCUGCACUGAGUCAGAGUGUCUGAGAGAGAUGCCUACCCCCACUUUGCCUUCUGCCAUGAGUAAAAGCUCCCUGAGGAUUUCCAGAAGCAGAAGCCGCUAUGUUUCCUGGAGCGAACCUGAACUUCCCCAGAAGCAGAAGCCCUAAGCUUCCUGUAGUGAAGCCUGUGAAAC